GUCACUAACAACACGGCCAGGU
rnacentral:miRNA from 1 species